rnacentral:rRNA from 1 species
AGUUCGAUCAUGGCUCAGAUUGAACGCUGGCGGGAUGCUUUACACAUGCAAGUCGAACGGCAGCACGGACUUCGGUCUGGUGGCGAGUGGCGAACAGGUGAGUAAUGUAUCGGAACGUGCCUAGUAGCGGGGGAUAACUACGCGAAAGCGCUAGCUAAUACCGCCACGCCCUUCGAAGAGCGGGGGACCUUCGGGCCUCGCACACUAUUACGACGGCCGAUAUCGGAUUAGCUAGUUGGUGGGGUAACGGCUCACCAAGGCGACGAUCCGUAGCUGGUUUGAGAGGACGACCAAGCACACUGGGACUGAAGGACACGGCCCAGACUCCUACGGGAGGCAGCAGUGGGGAAUUUUGGACAAUGGGGGAAACCUGAUCCAGCCAUCCCGCGUGUGCGAUGACCUUCAGGUUGUAAAGCACUUUUGGCGGAAAGAAACGGCACGGGGUAAUACCCCGUGCAACUGACAGUACCUACUGAGAUAACACCGGCUAACUACGUGCCAGCAGCGCGAGUAAUACGUAGAUUGCAAGCGUUAAUCGAAUUACUGGGCGUAAAGCGUGCGCAGGCGGUUCCGGAAGAAGAUGUGAAAUCCCAGAGCUUAACUUUGGAGACUGGUACAACUACCGAGCUAGAGUGUGUCAGGGAGGUGGAAUUCCGCGUGUAGCGGUGAAAUGCGUAGAUAUGCGGAGGAGAGGAACACCGAUGGCGAAGGCAGCCUCCUGGGAUAACACUGACGCUCAUGCACGAAAAAGCGUAGAACAGGAUUAGAUACCCUGGUAGUCCACGCCCUAAACGAUGUCAACUAGCUGUUGGGGCCUUCGGGCCUUGGUAGCGCAAUAACGCGUGAAGUUGACCGCCUGCAAGUACGGUCGCAAGAUUAAAACUCAAGGAAUUGACGGGGACCCGCACAAGCGGUGGAUGAUGUGGAUUAAUUCGAUGCAACGCGAAAAACCUUACCUACCCUUGACAUGUCUGGAAUCCCGAAGAGAUUUGGGGAGUGCUCGCAAAGAGAACCGGAACACAGGUGCUGCAUGGCUGUCGUCAGCUCGUGUCGUGAGAUGUUGGGUUAAGUCCCGCAACGAGCGCGGCCUUGUCAUUAGUUGCUACGAAAGGGCACUCUAAUGAGACUGCCGGUGACAAACCGGAGGAAGGUGGGGAUGACGUCAAGUCCUCGCAAGCCCCUUAUGGGUAGGGCUUCACACGUCAUACAAUGGUCGGGACAGAGGGUCGCCAACCCGCGAGGGGAGCCAAUCCCAGAAACCCGAUCGUAGUCCGGAUCGCAGUCUGCAACUCGACUGCGUGAAGUCGGAAUCAUGGUAAUCGCGGAUCAGCAUGUCGCGGUGAAUACGUUCCCAGGUCUUAUACCGCCCUUCCGUCACACCAUGGGAGUGGGUUUUACCAGAAGUAGUUAGCCUAACCGUAAAGGAGGGCGAUUACCACGGUAGGAUUCAUGACUGGGGUGAGGUCGUAACAAGGUAG